AAUCUGUGCACAUGCUUUGUUUCUUGUGUUUUCCAGGGGUUCUGCCACCUUCUCACAGACAGUCCAGUGCUUCAGGGCCCCUGCUGGUAAGAGGUCACUGUGGAGGAGAGAGAAUGUGUGCAGCCUCAGAGGGCUGGAGCCACCUGCCAGUUAGGUGUGAUGGUCUUCAGCUGUCCUUGUACGGCACACGGUGAUGGCAGCAGCCUCUGACUGGGGUUGGAGCCAGUGGCCCGAGAACC